UACGUAGGGUGCAAGCGUUGUCCGGAAUUAUUGGGCGUAAAGAGCUUGUAGGCGGUUUGUCGCGUCUGCUGUGAAAUUUCGGGGCUCAACCCCGGACUUGCAGUGGGUACGGGCAGGCUAGAGUGUGGUAGGGGAGACUGGAAUUCCUGGUGUAGCGGUGAAAUGCGCAGAUAUCAGGAGGAACACCGAUGGCGAAGGCAGGUCUCUGGGCCACUACUGACGCUGAGAAGCGAAAGCAUGGGGAGCGAACAGG
rnacentral:rRNA from 1 species